rnacentral:rRNA from 1 species
GCGCCGGCGAUGUUUCAUUCAAAUUUCUGCCCUAUCAACUUUCGACGGUAGGGUAGUGGUCUACCGUGGUGGUAACGGGUAACGGAGGAUUAGGGUUCGAUUCCGGAGAGGGAGCCUGAGAAACGGCUACCACAUCCAAGGAAGGCAGCAGGCGCGCAAAUUACCCAAAUCCCAACUCGGGGAGGUAGUGACAAGAAAUAACGAUGCUCCGGCCAACGGUCGGGUAAUCGGAAUGAGAACAACACAAAUCCCUUAUCGAGGAUCAAUUGGAGGGCAAGUCUGGUGCCAGCAGCCGCGGUAAUUCCAGCUCCAAUAGCGUAUAUUUAAGUUGCUGCGGUUAAAAAGCUCGUAGUCGGAUUUCGGGUGGUACCUGCCGGUCCGCCUAUGGUGAGUACUGGCAGGCGCCACCUUUCUGCCGAGGACAGGCUCGUGGGCUUUACUGUCUGGGGUCUGGAGUCGGCGACGUCACUUUGAGUAAAUUAGGGUGUUUAAAGCAGGCAUGUGCUCUGAAUACACUAGCAUGGGAUGACACGAUAGGACUCCGGUCUAUCUUGUCGGUCUGUAGGCUGGAGUAAUGAUUAAGAGGGACAGUCGGGGGCAUUCGUAUUUCGUAGUCAGAGGUGAAAUUCUUGGAUUUACGGAAGACGAACUUCUGCGAAAGCAUUUGCCAAGGAUGUUUUCAUUGAUCAAGAACGAAAGUCGGGGGCUCGAAGACGAUUAGAUACCGUCGUAGUCUCGACCAUAAACGAUGCGACUG